rnacentral:misc_RNA from 1 species
GUCAAAUGAAAGCCCCGCAACUGUUGGAAAAAUUGUUAGAAUUGACAUGGAUGGGGCUUUGAAUGUGAGGGUUGCUGGCAGACACAGCUUGUGGAAAGUUUCUCCUGGAGAUGCAGAGCGACUUUCAGGAUUUGAAGUUGGUGAUUGGGUACGUUCAAAACCAAGCCUGGGGACAAGACCAAGUUAUGAUUGGAAUAGCAUUGGGAAGGAAAGUUUAGCUGUUGUCCAUAGUGUACAAGAGACAGGUUACUUGGAGCUGGCUUGUUGUUUCCGUAAAGGAAGG